UCCGUAGGCGGGCAAUUAAGUCAGAGGUGAAAUCUCACAGCUCAACUGUGGAACUGCCUUUGAUACUGGUUGUCUUGAGUUAUAGUGAAGUAGAUAGAAUAUGUAGUGUAGCGGUGAAAUGCAUAGAUAUUACAUAGAAUACCGAUUGCGAAGGCAGUCUACUAACUGUAUACUGACGCUAAUGGACGAAAGCGUGGGGAGCGAACAGGAUUAGAUACCCUGGUAGUCC
rnacentral:rRNA from 1 species